CCUUAGACCAAUAUGAAUUAUUCCAAUAAUUUCAAAAGUUUUGGAAAAGUUUAUUCAACCAAAAAUGUAUAAUUUUUUUAUUACAAAUAACAUAAUUCUGAAGGGUCAGUCUGGCUUCUGAAAGCAGCACAGAACAACAUCCGUCUUGUUAAUAGUUACUUAAGAAAUAAUUGAGGCUUUUAGAUGAGAGUGAGACUACAGCACUCGUAUUGCUUGACUUCUCUAAGGCUUGCGAUAUAUUGGGUCUUAUCUUUCUCAAGGAAGUAGCUGGUGGUCCUAGAAAAGUUUUGCAAAAUGAGCUAGGGACCAAAAAGUAGUAUUAAGUUUGCUAAUGAUGUGUGCCAAAUUUCAAAUUUUUAUAUAAACGCAUUCAAAAGAUAAAAGGGGAGGGGGAAAUUAAUUAUUAUAAUUAUACUGUAUAAGUAUUC